UGCUUAUUGAUGCAAACUUACGAUGGCUGCUUUGAAACCCUUGUCCGAUGACUUCAACAUCGGGUUCAUCUUGAGCUCUGUGCCAGUUGAUUGUCUUUUCUCGUCCCUUCAAUCAGCUUUCGCUCUGCCCGUCGGAAGUGCCGUGAGGCUUGGAGGGUGACCUGCUCAGCCUGUAGACUUGGCACCGAGCAGAAUCAGAAUUGCAGCUGGUCUGAAGGCUCUCCUGCUGAUGUGUCAAGCUCUGGGCAAAGUCCUAAUGAAAAAACGCUGCUAAAUUACCAACAAAAUGCUGGCUCCCAGACGAGACCCACGGACAGCCACUGUCCUGAGGGUGGAGAACAGAGGACCAGAGAGAAAGUGACUCAGUCUGUGG